UACGGAGGAUGCGAGCGUUAUCCGGGUUUAUUGGGUUUAAAGGGUGCGUAGGCGGGUUAUCAAGUCAGCGGUAAAAUCGUGGAGCUCAACUCCAUCCAGCCGUUGAAACUGAUGAUCUUGAGUGGGCGAGAAGUAUGCGGAAUGCGUGGUGUAGCGGUGAAAUGCAUAGAUAUCACGCAGAACUCCGAUUGCGAAGGCAGCAUACCGGCGCCCGACUGACGCUGAAGCACGAAAGCGUGGGUAUCGAACAGG
rnacentral:rRNA from 1 species